AAAAUAUUUGAACUACUCUCUCCACUCUCCAGGCACAGUGGCAUGAAUACUAAAUGCAAAAUAUACAAAAGAACGUGACCGGCAACUGGAGGGCUACGGAGGCUGUCUUUUUAAUUUUAGGGUUUCUGAACUGUUGUGAUCCCUCUGGGCCCUGCCAGGCCCUUUGGGUCCAUUCCGUUGGUAGCAAUUCAAUGAGGUGAGAUCUUCAAGA